AACGUAGGGAACAAGCGUUAUCCGGAUUUACUGGGCGUAAAGCGCAUGUAGGUGGCAUGGAAAGUUGGACGUGAAAACUCCUGGCUUAACUGGGAGAGGUCGUACAAAACUACCAAGCUAGAGGAUGGAAGAGGAGAGUGGAAUUCCCGGUGUAGUGGUGGAAUGCGUAGAUAUCGGGAGGAACACCAGUGGUGAAAACGGCUCUCUGGUCCGUACCUGACACUGAGAUGCGAAAGCGUGGGGAGCGAACGGG
rnacentral:rRNA from 2 species